AAAAUCUAUACGUGCAUUUAAUUUUCCAACCAUUGGAAACCGUGCGGCAGCAGAAGGAGGUGAGAUGUGCAGGAAGUGGAAUCCAAGUGGCAGCUCAUGGAGUGCAAAAAUUCAGAAAGUGGAAAACAUGUGGCAGCAUGGGACUCGACCGUUCGGUUUUUGGAGGUGGUAUAAAAGCUGAAGUUUUAAAUCUGGCAUCAUUUUCCCUGCCUGCGAUCUUCUUCUCCAAAACUUCAGAACUCCAUUUUCUCCUCCUUCUCUCUAAAACCUCCACCUUUUCUCUAAGAUUCCGACCAUUUCCUUUCCUCCGAUCAUCAACUUUCUUUUAAAAUAAAUACUCCUGGUGUCAAGACCUUCACUUUGCACCGGUCUAAUUUCCAUUCUGAACCGGUAAGUGUUUCUGGCCGUUGAAGCUUCUUGGUAUUCUUGCAUGCAAGUACCCUUUAAGCUUGCAGGUGAUUGUUAAACCAUUUCUCUAAAACCUGUUGUCUUGUAAUUUG
rnacentral:lncRNA from 1 species